rnacentral:rRNA from 1 species
ACACAUGCAAGUCGAGGGGAAACGACAUCGAAAGCUUGCUUUUGAUGGGCGUCGACCGGCGCACGGGUGAGUAACGCGUAUCCAACCUGCCCACCACUUGGGGAUAACCUUGCGAAAGUAAGACUAAUACCCAAUGAUAUCUCUAGAAGACAUCUGAAAGAGAUUAAAGAUUUAUCGGUGAUGGAUGGGGAUGCGUCUGAUUAGCUUGUUGGCGGGGUAACGGCCCACCAAGGCGACGAUCAGUAGGGGUUCUGAGAGGAAGGUCCCCCACAUUGGAACUGAGACACGGUCCAAACUCCUACGGGAGGCAGCAGUGAGGAAUAUUGGUCAAUGGACGAGAGUCUGAACCAGCCAAGUAGCGUGCAGGAUGACGGCCCUAUGGGUUGUAAACUGCUUUUAUAAGGGAAUAAAGUGAGUCUCGUGAGACUUUUUGCAUGUACCUUAUGAAUAAGGACCAGCUAAUUCCGUGCCAGCAGCCGCGGUAAUACGGAAGGUCCGGGCGUUAUCCGGAUUUAUUGGGUUUAAAGGGAGCGUAGGCCGGAGAUUAAGCGUGUUGUGAAAUGUAGAUGCUCAACAUCUGCACUGCAGCGCGAACUGGUUUCCUUGAGUACGCACAAAGUGGGCGGAAUU